AGCAAGGUGGUCGGACAAGUUGUC
rnacentral:piRNA from 1 species